UCAUUUCCCCUCCUCUUCUCUUCGCGUCUCCUGAUUGGCUAACAGUGUGUUUCGUGUGUAUUUCGGACUCUAGGGUGACGUGGGUCUUCCCGGACCCAGGGGUAGUCCCGGCGACACGUCGCUAAGCGGCCCAAAAACACUCACUAUCUACAAAGGAGAUAAGGGUGACCCCGGUCCAAAGGGAAUUAAAGGAUACCCUGGAAUACCUGGCCUACCUGGACCCUUUGGCUAUCCUGGAGAAUAUGGAGAAAAGGGCAUUCCUGGAUACCCCGGGAGCAGAGGCGCUCCAGGGCUUAACGGACCUCCCGGUGUUCCAGGACUGCAGGGACCCAAAGGACGUCCAGGCAUCCCAGGCUCACCGGGAUACCCAGGAUUCAAGGGAGACCAGGGAGACCCCGGACCCCCAGGACCUACGUCUGUUGUUAAUGGGGGUUAUGCUAUUCAAGGACCUCCAGGGGACUCGGGUUUACGUGGCUUUCCAGGACCCCGGGGUGACCAGGGAUUUCCAGGCUUUCAAGGACCUCCCGGCCAACCAGGACCUGAUCGUUUUGGUCCAGGUAAUACACACAGAUUCACACUGAUCAUGG
rnacentral:lncRNA from 1 species